AAUCAAGUGCAUAUCAAUCCUAAUUUUAUCGGAGAUAGUGGAGAAAGUGGAUCUUAUGCGGACGUGAAUACCCCGACGACCAGCAUACAUUCGAAUAACGAUGACCCGACCACAAAGGAGUUUAUGCUGCAGCCUGGUAGACAUGUCCCUAACAACAAAAGCGAUACUCCUAAUUUCAAUGUGAGAAUGCAUAUGGGUAAUAUGCAAUUCCUUGAACACCAUCAGGUUACUAGAUCUCAUUCUACAUUCGAUAAUAACGAUGUCAGAAUCAAUGACGAAGAUGAAGAGGAAAGUUAUUCUGGUCAG